UACGUAGGAGGCAAGCGUUGUCCGGAAUUACUGGGCGUAAAGCGCGUGUAGGUGGUGGGACAAGUCUGUUGUGAAAGCGCCUGGCUUAACCGGGCGAGGUCGGCGGAAACUGUCCGACUCGAGGACGGUAGAGGGGGUGGAAUUCCCGGUGUAGUGGUGAAAUGCGCAGAUAUCAGGAGGAACACCAAUGGCGAAGGCAGCUCGCUGGGACGGUACUGACGCUGGAGGCACGGCGAAGCGUGGGGAGCAAACAGG
rnacentral:rRNA from 1 species